UGGUGGGAGGAUGGGGGGUGUGGGGUCUGGAGACAUGGAGGCAGCCGGGGCAGGUUCUCCUCGGGAGCUUCCGGAAGGAACUAGCCCUGCCCGCUCCUGGACUGUCACCCAGAGAAACCCAUUCGGACCUCUGACCUCCGGGACAAACUGUGGUCUGGUUAAACGUGCUUUCUGCAAUGGCCGCGUCCCGUUCAGACCAACCUCUGACCCCGCGGGGUGCGGGGAGAGGGGCAGGUGGUGAGCCCCUCUGCUCUGCAGUCGCCUGGCCUGCGUCUCCCCUGGGGCCGCCCCUGCCCCCCGUGGCCAGGUUUCCUGGGCAGCUGGCAAUGGGACCCGGCCCCUGUGAGGCUGGCCCAGGGCUCAGGGCCCGAGGACACAGGUCGGCAGAGGGACGGGCGGGGCCUGUGGGUCUGCAGCUGGUGCGCUUGGCCCUCCAGAGCCCACGGCACCGCACCUCCGUGCCCGGGCGCGUCUGACUCCCACGGAACCAAAGGAAACCCGUCCGAUCCAGGCUCGGCCAUGAGAGUGGGAUGGGUGUGGAAGGGGAGGGACCCUGAUCCCCAUGGACCUCGAGUGGAUCUUCCCUUUGCUCAGAGCUCAUCCCGGCAAAGGUGCUGAGUGUGCAUUUAUCAAUAACCACUUUAAUUAGGAAAACUGGUGGCCUUCUCCCUAAGAACCUACAGGCGGGUAAUGCUAGCUUUCCAACUUGGGACGACAAAUGGACUGUUUAGAGAAAAACAGAGAAAUACUGACAAUUAAAAGCACAUCAGAGGGACGUUGGAGUUCGAUGUGUAAUUGGAAGGUAAUGGUGUGAGUCCUUACGACACAAGCUAAUUUUCUCGACAGAAUCUGCCCUAAAUGCCGGCUGCUUGGACAGGAAUAGGUGCACUGGGUGACGGGGCCCGCGGGUCAUUCUGCUCCAUGACCGUGAGGCUGUGGGGAUCUCCCAGGAGGGAGCGGGGGCCCCACCCCAGGGCUCCGCUCAGGGGACCCAGGAAAGGUAAGCUCUGCAGGGUGGCCAUGUUUCAGCUCUAAUUCAAGGAGAACAGUAGACAUCACAGUGUCCCCUUCUGGGCAAGAACCCAAAGUUGUUUGCAUGACAACAGCCUCCAGACGCUCAGUCCCGCUUGUGCCUCCGAAGCCAGGGGAGAAACCAAGUCACGGUGACAAGACAGAGAGUGUCACCCAGGACAGAAAGAUGCCUGAGAUUGGUCUUUCUUUCCAGGCGCCCCAGAGCCCGGCAGACACCACGCGGCGAAGAUCCUGUGUGGUGCGGACAGGCAUGCCCAGCGAUCCGGGUUCACCCAAACCACACCGAUGACGCCCGAGCGCCAACAUUUCAUAAACAUGCAGACUUUCUACUUUCCUCAAGGACCCGCUCCCUGGAGGCAGGUGGGACGGGCACAGCCGGACCAGGGCACGCAGUCUAGUCGUGACACAAAAACCAUCUCCCUGCUCGGCUGGUGGCAUCUCCAUACCUUCAGUGGGAAGAUUGGACCCAGACACGCGGGGAGACCACGAGCGUGAGGACGGAGGCACGGAGUUGAGCCACGAGGCCACAAGCCCAUGAAGGCCCCCAGCACCAGAGCUCGAAGCAGCAGGAUGGGGGCGGCCCCGGGGCCCCCGAGGGAGCGCGGCCCUGGGCACCUUGACCUCAGACGUCUGGGCCCGGGAACCGAGCGGACAAGUCUGCUGCUUCCGGGCCUGGCCUUCUGGACAGCACUUCAGUGGCCCUGGCAGGGAGACAGAAGGAUCAGAGCCGCUUCGCACUCUCUGCCGGGAGCACGCGGGAUGUUCGUGAAUCUCGGGAGCAGCUACAGAUGCCGCCUAAGGACACAAACAGGGUGCAGGGGCAGAGGGAGAGGGAGAGAGAAUCUCCAGCAGACUCCCCGCCAAGCGUGGAGCCCGGCAGGGGGCUCAAUCUCACGACCCUGAGAUCAUGACUGAGCCAAAAUCAAGAGUCGGACGCUG